rnacentral:misc_RNA from 1 species
UCCGGUUUGUCACCGGCAGUCUCACUAGAGUGCCCAACUGAAUGUGGCAACUAAUGACAAGGGUUGCGCUCGUUGCGGGACUUAACCCAACAUCUCACGACACGAGCUGACGACAGCCAUGCAGCACCUGUGUUACGGCUCCCUUUCGGGCACAUCUCCAUCUCUGGAGGCUUCCGUACAUGUCAAGGGUAGGUAAGGUUUUUCGCGUUGCAUCGAAUUAAUCCACAUAAUCCACCGCUUGUGCGGGUCCCCGUCAAUUCCUUUGAGUUUUAACCUUGCGGCCGUACUCCCCAGGCGGUCAACUUCACGCGUUAGCUUCGUUACUAAGGGAGUUAAUCCCCCAACAACCAGUUGACAUCGUUUAAGGCGUGGACUAC